rnacentral:rRNA from 1 species
GACGAACCGUGCAAACGUUAUUCGGAAUCACUGGGCUUAAAGCGCGUGUAGGCGGGACGGCACGUCGGUCGUUGAAAGCCCCCGGCUCAACCGGGGAAUGGGCGCCGAUACGACCGUCCUUGAGGAACGUAGGGGGACCUGGAACUUCCGGUGGAGCGGUGAAAUGCGUUGAGAUCGGAAGGAACGCCGUGGCGAAAGCGAGGUCCUGGACGUUAUCUGACGCUGAGACGCGAAAGCCAGGGGAGCGAACGGG